AUUGAACGCUGGCGGCAGGCCUAACACAUGCAAGUCGAGCGGAUGAAGGGAGCUUGCUCCUGGAUUCAGCGGCGGACGGGUGAGUAAUGCCUAGGAAUCUGCCUGGUAGUGGGGGAUAACGUCCGGAAACGGGCGCUAAUACCGCAUACGUCCUGAGGGAGAAAGUGGGGGAUCUUCGGACCUCACGCUAUCAGAUGAGCCUAGGUCGGAUUAGCUAGUUGGUGGGGUAAAGGCCUACCAAGGCGACGAUCCGUAACUGGUCUGAGAGGAUGAUCAGUCACAGUGGAGAGGAGACGCGGCCCAGCCUCCGAGGGGAGGCAGCAGUGGGGAAUGUGGGAAAAUGGGCGAAGGCCUGAACCACCCUCGCGGGGGGGGGGAAGAAGGUCUGGGGUUGUAAAGACAUUUUAAGUGGGGAGAAAGGGCAUUAAUUUAAUCCCUUCUUUUUUUGACGUUACCAAAAGAAUAAGCCCCGGCUAACUUCGUG
rnacentral:rRNA from 1 species